UCUCCCUACGGGGGGCAGCAGUGAGGAAUAUUGGUCAAUGGGCGAGAGCCUGAACCAGCCAAGUCGCGUGAGGGAGUACUGCCCUAUGGGUUGUAAACCUCUUUUGUCGGGGAGCAAAAGCCGGACGUGUCCGGCUGUGAGAGUACCCGAAGAAAAAGCAUCGGCUAACUCCGUGCCAGCAGCCGCGGUAAUACGUAGGGUGCAAGCGUUAUCCGGAUUUAUUGGGCGUAAAGGGCUCGCAGGCGGUUCGUCG
rnacentral:rRNA from 1 species